rnacentral:rRNA from 1 species
AGAACGAACGCUGGCGGCAGGCUUAACACAUGCAAGUCGAACGCUCGUAGCAAUACGGGAGUGGCAGACGGGUGAGUAACGCGUGGGAACAUACCCUCCGGUUCGGAAUAGCUCAGGGAAACUUGGAUUAAUACCGGAUACGGCUGAGAGGCGAAAGAUUUAUCGCCGGAGGAUUGGCCCGCGUUCGAUUAGCUUGUUGGUGAGGUAACGGCUCACCAAGGCGAUGAUCGAUAGCUGGUCUGAGAGGAUGAUCAGCCACAUUGGGACUGAGACACGGCCCAAACUCCUACGGGAGGCAGCAGUGGGGAAUAUUGGACAAUGGGCGCAAGCCUGAUCCAGCCAUGCCGCGUGAGUGAUGACGGCCUUAGGGUUGUAAAGCUCUUUCGCUCGGGACGAUAAUGACGGUACCGAGAUAAGAAGCCCGGCUAACUUCGUGCCAGCAGCCG